rnacentral:rRNA from 1 species
AUGAACGCUGGCGGCGUGCCUAAUCCAUGCACGUCGAGCGAACAGACGAGGAGCUUGCUCCUCUGACGUUAGCGGCGGACGGGUGAGUAACACGUGGAUAACCUACCUAUAAGACUGGGAUAACUUCGGGAAACCGGAGCUAAUACCGGAUAAUAUAUUGAACCGCAUGGUUCAAUAGUGAAAGACGGUUUUGCUGUCACUUAUAGAUGGAUCCGCGCCGCAUUAGCUAGUUGGUAAGGUAACGGCUUACCAAGGCAACGAUGCGUAGCCGACCUGAGAGGGUGAUCGGCCACACUGGAACUGAGACACGGUCCAGACUCCUACGGGAGGCAGCAGUAGGGAAUCUUCCGCAAUGGGCGAAAGCUUGACGGAGCAACGCCGCGUGAGUGAUGAAGGUCUUCGGAUCGUAAAACUCUGUUAUUAGGGAAGAACAAAUGUGUAAGUAACUAUGCACGUCUUGACGGUACCUAAUCAGAAAGCCACGGCUAACUACGUG